AUUGAACGCUGGCGGCAUGCCUUACACAUGCAAGUCGAACUGCAGCACGGGGGCAACCCUGGUGGCGAGUGGCGAACGGGUGAGUAAUAUAUCGGAACGUGCCGUAGAGUGGGGGAUAACUAGUCGAGAGAUUAGCUAAUACCGCAUACGAUCUACGGAUGAAAGUGGGGGAUCGCAAGACCUCAUGCUCUGUGAGCGGCCGAUAUCUGAUUAGCUAGUUGGUGUGGCAAAGGCCUACCAAGGCGACGAUCUGUAGCGGUUCUGAGAGGGUGAUCCGCGACGCUGGGACUGAGACACGGCCCAGACUCCGAAGGGAGGCAGCAUUGCGGAAGAUUGAACAAUAGGGGCAAACCUGAUCCAGCAAUGCCGCGUGCGUGACGAAGGCUGUCGGUUUGUAAAGCUCUGUUGUCAGGGAAGAAACGGUGAAGGCUAAUAUCCUUUGCUAACGACGGUACCAGUAGAAUACGCACCGGCUAACUACGUGCCAGCCGCCGCCGUAACAC
rnacentral:rRNA from 1 species